rnacentral:rRNA from 1 species
UACGAAGGGAGCUAGCGUUGUUCGGAAUCACUGGGCGUAAAGCGCACGUAGGCGGAUUUGUAAGUCAGGGGUGAAAUCCCGGGGCUCAACCUCGGAACUGCCUUUGAUACUGCAAAUCUCGAGUCCGAUAGAGGUGGGUGGAAUUCCUAGUGUAGAGGUGAAAUUCGUAGAUAUUAGGAAGAACACCGGUGGCGAAGGCGGCCCACUGGAUCGGUACUGACGCUGAGGUGCGAAGCGUGGGGAGCAA